ACUUUCAAAAAACGUUUUUCUUUUUUUGAAUGCAAGCAGUACUCACGACCAGCAACACAGUUCCGUUUCUUGCUUCCAAGAUUUUCACAGGGUCUUCACCUGAGACAGAUUGAUAUGUUUGAGGAUGGCAUUGGCCGGAGUUCUCGAACACUAAGAUGACCAAAAAGCAGCGAAAGGUCUGUGUCAAAGCAAUGAAGAGGCUCAGAAGACAAAAACAUCUUAAAAUUGGUGGACAACAGAAGUUUGCUGUAAUUGAUGAAUCCAAGUUUUCUCAUAAAAGAAAGUACAACCGUGGUUGAUUUGGAACAACUUGCGGAAGAAAUGGUUGGGUCUUUGGAAUGUUGGAAGUGAAGCAGGAUCGGCGGUGGUCUAUUCUGAAAAUAGUAAAAAUAAAUAAUUCUCAGAAUACUUUGAUCCCAAUCAUCUGGAAACAUGUACGACGAGGAUCAUAAAUUUUGAGUGACAAGAGGCUUGCAAGGAUUUAGUCAUCACUCUGUCAAUCAUAGCCAAAACUUUGUUGACCCACAAUCUGGCUGUCACACUCAACACAUUAUUUCUUCAACUGACUUAUAAAUGUAAAUGAUGAGAUAAAGUGUAGAGCAGUAUCUGUGAUCAUGUGUUACUGUGCUUUCAACUUUCAAACUUUUAAUAUCCUA